rnacentral:lncRNA from 1 species
CAACAUCCUAACAGUCAUAUUUUCUGCUCGUCAGCUCCAGACAUUAACGUGAAUAAUGUGGAAGGUAAAACAACACAUCCUCUGGAUUUGAGGGCUGAGCGUGCCUGGAAGGAAAGAGGGGUGUUGAAAACAGGUGAGCAGCCCUUCUCCUGGUACAGCCAGCAAGCUUGUCCACACAGUGUUUGGUGUGGUACUUAUUCUACCCUUCAGGACAAUGCUUUCUUGGUACUUCUGAAUGCUGCUGCUGGCUCCUGCAACCACACACACACACACGCACACCUGUAACGCACUCCUCUGAAAAACUCUAAUCUCAGACAGAAUGCAGCCAGCUGAAACCAGCAGUGGAACAUCCUUCUCUAGAUACCUCAGGACAUAAUGGAGACUGACUUUCUGGGAGAUUGCUUGGCUGGGUGGAGAAUGAAGACUUUAAUUUCAAGCCAUCUUGUUUGCAGUUUCCUUGAGAAAAAAAUCUUGGUUUGGAUGACACCCAGUAUAAUAUGAUUUAUUUGGUGUAAGUGCAAGAAUUUUUCUCUUUAAUUUUCUCAUUUCCUGAACAUAGGGCCUUUUUUUGAGAUUUUUUUUUCUUUCCACUGUUGUUGACAUAUUUGGUUUCAUUUUUAAGAGCAAAAAAAAUUAUUUAGGAGAAAGGCUUAAUUAAGUUUUCUAGGGAUAUUAAUUUGGCGAUUACUUGCGUUACUUAACUAAAGAAAAGCCAAAUAAAACUAUAUAGCUAUGAUUUCAAGGCAUAGCACUUCAGAAUAAGUGUCAGACAAAAUUGUUUCUUGUUAUGAUCUGGGGAGUGGCCUAUGAAAGCUGUUUUGAGUUUGGAGGAAUUUUGAAGUUGUUGCUUUAUGGAAAUUAUGAUGUUUCUGGAG